rnacentral:lncRNA from 1 species
CUCAUUCUUGCUUCUCUCUCAAAAAAGGUUACUCACUCUUCCGUCUGGUUCCCGGUAGUUUCUUCAUCUACACAAACCGUACAGCGGUGCUGCUGGUGGCCUUGGUGUUCUCUUUGUUGUCCAGGGCGGUGUCCUUUUUACUACUGCUCUGUUUCCAGGUGCGAUUUACCAGCUUCUUGCAUACGUUUCAGCGUUUCUUUUAAUUAGCACAAAUCUUCAUCAGCGGCUAUGAGCAAAAUUCUUAUGUAUGAUGAAAUAUCUAAUAUCAACUCACCAGGAUGUUAAUUCUAUGUAAUUAAGUACUUGAUCUAGUAUCAGAGAGGCGAAAAGGGAGCGGCCGGCUCGAUCCCCAAAUCCCGCCGGUGAGGGCGCGGAUCCCUGCCUCCUCCGCUCGCUUCGGCGGCGGGAGGAGGCGGGGAUCCCGUUUCCCUGCCUCCGGCGUGUAGAUAGGGUAGGUGUAGUCCCCGGCGGCGUCGAGUUGGUGGUUGGUUCGCCGUCGCUUGCGUUGAAUAAAUCCGCCGUCUUCCCUCCCCCUCCCCCUUGCCGGCGCUGGACGUGUCGGCAUGUAGGCGGCGUGCUUUUCUCGCCGUUCUGCGGAUCGGCUGGUGGCUGGGAUCCCUCCUUCGUUGGUGGCAUCAACGGAUCGGAGGGAUAUUUUGUUCCUCGUGGGUCUCCGGGCCGCACGAGUUCUUGCCUCCUCGGGCUGGACGGCGAUGCGACGUUGCCGUCUUCGCCAUGUGAGUACUCUCCUACCCCUCCUCUUCGUCGACGCGCCGGCGUCUUCCCCAUCGACGGCGCGGGGGUGGGGUGCUGCUGUGCUUGUAGGGGUGGAUCUCAGGUUUAUGGAGUGGAUUCGACAGCGAUGGCUGAUCUCCCGGGGUGCUGGUCCUUUGCGGCCGAAGAUUGGAGACUUCCCGUUCGUCACGGUCGUCUUAAAAAGGGUGCUUGCUCCGGCGAUGGAGCGGCGAGGACGACGGCGCGCCACCAACUCGUGGACUUCAGUUCUCGUUGUGUGGUCUGAGGACCUGUUUGUAAUUUUAUUUGCUUUCGGGGUCCUUUGUACUGCUCCAGAUUUUGCAAUAUAAGCCUGUGAUCUUUUUCGCAAAAAAAAAAGAAGUAUUUGAUCUAAACGCUUUUAUAUUUUUUAUGGAGGGGGUACCUUGUAUAUGACGAUAACUUGUUUUGUGCGUGUAGUUGCAAAAGCUCGACAGGACGAAUGGCAGAGAUCAGGAGCGGUAGCAUGGUGAACAAGAGAGACCUCGAAAGUGAUCAGCCCUGCAAGCUGUCGCACCAAUUUAUAAGACAUAUUACAAAGGAUUUCGACGAAACACUGGUAAUUGGAAGUGGUGCAUUCGGGACAGUUUACAAGGUAUGACUAUGAACACAACAUUUUUGCCUUAAAUGCGGAAACAAUAAUAGUACGGAAACACUAACGCCUACACGUGUGGGCGUUCUCUAACUCGCCCACACACUUAGAUCGUCGUUCAUUGUCUUUUGUACGAAUCUUGACAUGAAAAGGUAGAUUUCGUGUGCCACGUAGAACAGGGCUGGUGUGUGGCGUUGGAGAGUUUGCCUACACGCUCGCACCAUUGUGUUUGCCAGCUGCGCUGUGUGGGUGAACUAGUUUCUACCCACACAGACAGCCACCUACUUCGUGCGCGUGUGGGCAAACUGCUUUUCGCCCACACGACACUCCUAUGAUGUGGAUGGCAACUGCAGUUAGGCGAACGUGGCAACUAGGUAAACACGCAUGACAACUGUGAUAUUUUGUUAGAUGACUACUGCAGUUACGCGUACGUGGCAACCAGAUAAACACACAUGGCAACUGUGAUUAACAAUACAUGACAAUUAUGAUUGAACCACACGUGGCAACUAGGUAAACACACAUGGCAACUACUGUUUGACCAUAUGUGGCAAGUAGUUAAUCCAAAUGACAACUACAGUUUGAUUACACGCGGCAACUACCAUAAAUUAGACAUGUCAACUAUAAUUAACCAAAACAGAUAGAGUUGCCAUACUUUUACAACUACACUUGCCAUCCCGCAUAACUACAUCUGCCAACCAGAUUGACAACUAAAUCGUCAUCCCGCGGUGUUCCUAACGUAGCCGCGUCAGGAAAUGUGGGCAUUUUUGCUUCGUGCCACACAAACGGGGUGAAGAUGAGUAGUAUUUAUUGGUGUGUGGCACGAAGCAGCCGCGCCCACACGUGUGGACAAUUCUAAUGUUCGCCCACACACAACCCGUGUGGGCUGCCUCCUACUCACACCACACAUGAUGUGUGGACACAUGUCGAAUAUACCACACGUGUGGCAGUUAUCGGCGUCCUAAUAGUAUACGUUGUGUAGUUAUUAAGUGUGGACCGUGAGACAAAUUUUGGAUGAGCACCAGAGAAUAUUAGGGAGGUUAUUAGGCGAAGAAACAAACCAGAACGAAGCGGAUCCGACGCCGAGAAAGACGCUGGCCGCCGCUUAAUGAAGCCCAGCAACGCACUGGUCUUGCCGGAGCCUCCUCCCCACGAGACGACACCUCAAAACGCCAUAAAGAACGCAGGCAAACUACAAACUACAGCUAUGAAGAAGAAAGGGAUGGGUCCCUCGCUCUACUCGCCGCCGGCCGAGCCGGAUAGGAGAGGGGAGGGGCCAGGGGAGAGAGAUCGGCGGAGGGCUGGAAGGGGAGGAAACGAGGAGAGCAGGAAGAAGAUCGUACCGAUGAAGACGGAUGGCUUUUUUUCAACACACUACAAGACGGAUGGCUGAUUCGUCACUGCCUGCUAUGCGUUCUAUCGGGAGUUCUCAAAUCGGCUGAUUGUUGUGUCGUAGUUCUUUUUCUUUUAGUAUAUAAAAAUCCCUGCUACGUCUGGUUUUGCUCUCCGGUUGAUUCCCCACAAAAUCUUCUCCGGAGAGCGUUUUUGUGCUUCAUCUCCAUCCACGGUUCUGUCCAAGCGGGUGGGUGUAGAUGGAAUACGUGUUUCAUCUACCACGCAGCAGUCCCCGUGAUGCUCCCCGCGAGUGUCCCAGGCGCACCCCAAAUCAACGCCGCCGGCCACCUACUACCCCUCGCCGCCGCCGGAGGGCGCCUCCGGCAAAGCCCGCGCGGCAAUGGCAGUGGCGGGGCCCUCCUCCCUCUCGCAAGGCGCGCGUGCGGCGCGGGGGCGCUAGGCGGGAGGUGCAGCGGAUGACUGGAGCCUGGAGGUGGCCAUGGGCACGCGGGCGGGGGCGUGCUAAGGGGUUCGGCGCGGAUCUGGCGCUCCGGUAGGUGCGAUGGCAGGGGGUUGGCUGCUGCUCGGGCGGCAGCCCGAGGUGGCCCGGUGGAGCCGCUUCGUUGUGAAGGAGCAGGGGCGCGCCUGAGGCUGCUGGAUCUUCUGCAUUCUCUAGCGGGCGUGGUGCGCGUGCGAGCUUGGUCGCGGCCAGGAACCGAGGUGGUUCAUGGCCUCGGGCAGCAUAUCUCUUGUCCCGUCGGCGUGCUGCUCGGCAUGGACAGGAGAUUCGUGUUGCGUCCGGUGACUCAGCUUUCGGUCAAUGGUUGGCGGUUCAACGAUGGGCUUCUUCGACUAUGAGCUGGCUCGGUGGUAGUGCAAGGUGGGUGCCGUUGUGAGAUGAUAUGCAGAUGAGGUGGUGUCGGGAGCUUGGGUGAAAACCAUGUCUUGGUUGUGGCCGUGACCUUCUUGGAGGCAUCGCUCUACUACUGUCGCACCCCCCCAGGGCGGAUCACUGCAGCUCCGGGGAAACCCUUUGAUCUUGUUUGAUCAGACGAUGGCAUCGCCUUGGUGUCGUUCUCUCUCCUGGGGGCUUUGUCUUUGGAGUUGGAUGUUGGCGAGCGGGACCAGUGGAAGACGGUGGUGUUGGCGUCGAGACUUCUGUGGCAACGAUGAUGGGGCGAGUAGUGUCGGAGAUGUGGUUAUGGUUGAGGUAGUCGGCUCUUCUCCGACAUGUCCGCAGGAUUGCCUCGGCUAGUUUGUUACUGUGAAGUUCAAGCUGCAGUGGCGGGGCCCGUUGGUAUACGAUGACAAGCAGCAGGUGGUUCGUUCAAUGAUCUUCUGCGGCGCCAGCCGUGCCUAGUUCUCCUUCGUGGUCGGAGCUGCGAUGUAGGGUCGCAGGUGGUUGGGUUUGGCGCGGAUCUUCAUGCGUCUUCACAUGGCCUCUUCAGUGUGGGUUGGGUCGAUGAUCGCCUACGCUGAAGUCGAAGUCGUUUGCUCAGGGUUUAGGGAUAGCGAUGAUGCCUUUAGGGGAAGAAUGAUGACGAUGACAUCUGUGUGCUGACUCGUGAGACCCUCUCUAGAGUGGUGUGUGGGGAACCUUGUGUGCCGCUUUACGGUUGUGAUUGUUUUGCCCGGUUCCAGUGGCGAAGCCAGCUCGACCGGUUGAGCCGGGGCAAAGUCCAGGACGCUCCUGCUUGCCGGUUGUUUGCCCCUGCAAAAUGAUGCUUGGCUCUCCAUUAACUAGCAAAAUGAUGCUUGGCUCUCCAUUAACUACUAGUGGUCAAAGGAGAAUGCAUGGCACAGCCCGGUUCUCCAUAAUCAACUGAACAAUCUGGUUUUCACUCGGUUUUUUCUAAAUAACCGGCAACUCCUUUUUUUAAUGAAUGCAGGAUAACUGCCAUUUUGAAAAUAAAAGGAAUACAUGUUUCUCCUGCUACCUUUGGUAUUCCUUCAUCUUCUCGGUGAUGUUUUUCCUUUCAAUUGCUUGCACGCCGGAGACUUGGCUGCUUGCCCCUUUCAACCUGGAGGCCUGCCCAACGGUCUAUGGGGACACCGUUCUCUUAGGCCUAAUUUGGUUGCAAUGGGGAGGUAACCCAGGGCCCUAAUCUCCCACGGGGGCAUUUCCAUGGACGCCGGGGAUCCUCUCCUCCCACCACGGAGAUAUCAGCACGUCAGUUUGGACGGCAGGGGAGAGGGGAGAAGAUCACGUCCCCAAAAAAUGCUAGAAAAGUUUCAGGUUGAGGGAGUUGGUUGGAUGAUGACCUGGUCUGUCGCCUUCGCCGCCGCCGCCGGUGCCGGAGGAGCUGCGCGUGGAGGCGGUUGUUGAGCGAGGCCGUGGGGGUGUCGCUUUCCAAUCAUCGGACGAGGAAGCACGGAGGCUGGAGGCGGACGCCAUUGGCUCUCGGUCCCUCGGUUGCGAGGAGAGAGUCGCAAGCGAAGGAGACAAGGGUUUUCUCCCUGACUUGUCGACGCUGGGAGAUCAGACCCGGGGACGGGUCGUGGUAAGGCCAGGGAUCUUCUCCCCUCGCAUCCUACCAAAUGGGUCUGUUUACUUACCCGGGCCCAACUUACCCUGUGGUUUGCCCACCCGUGGAAAAGGCUGGGAUCCCCUCGGGAUCCUUUUGAACCAAAUGGGGCCUUAGAGCAUCUCCAACAGGCGCCCAAUGCGCGGCGCGCUAAAAUCUGGUUUGCGACGCGCGCAACGCCGGGUUUGGUGCGUCGCGCAACGCUUGCUCCUGCAGUAGCGCUAAAAUGCAGCGCGCGCGAGCAGCCGACGCACAUAUUUGUUCUUACUUUGGGAACAAAUUUCACACUUCAACACAAAACACAUGACAUAUAUUGAAUCACAAACAUCAUUCCAACCAAGUUCGUGCCCAAAAGUUCAUGCACACAAGUUCAAAUUCAUGCCCACAACAUAAUAAUUAAACCAAGUUCAACAUGCAAACCAAGUUUAUGAUGACACAAACGAAAGACACAAGAAUCAAGCCUCUCCUCGUCUUCAUCUUCAUCUCUUCCUCCGAAGACGAUUCUUCCUCCUCCUCUUCAUUGUUGCACGUCGUAUCAUCAUCACGUGAAGCUCAGAAGGUGUUGUCAAGAUCUUGAAUGGCAUCUUCAUGCGAAGGUGGCAAACCGGCGUCCGGAGGGGCACCCAUGCCCCCAAUGAGAGACGCAAAACUCAUGCCACCCAUGCCACCCAUGCUUUCCAAGCCGCCCGGAGGUGCUCCAAAGCCACCCAUGCCUCUCAUUGUCUCCAUGGUAGCUCCAAAGCCACCCAUGAAACCCAUGCCGCCCAAGAUAGCUCCAAAGCCACCCACGGAACCCAUGCCGCCAAAGCCAUCGGCAUCCAUGCCGCCACCGCCACCAAUACCGCCAAGGCCACCGCCACCCAUGCGCCAAUCAUGGUUCUUUUUUGGAUCAAGACUUCUUCACGGGCAAGGUUGACAUACUUCUUUUGCGCAUCAUUGCACAAAGAUGUGUCCAAGAAGAACAAGUGCUUCUCUCAUUCCAACAACUUAGCUCGCUCCUCCAUCGCCAUCUUCCUCUCCUCCAAUGCCACUUUCCUCUCCUCGGCCGCCAACCUCCUCUCCUCGGCCGCGGCAUCUUGGUUCCUUGUCAUUUUCCUCACCUUGUUGGCUUCUCUUCUUGCGUUGACAAUUGCUUCUAUAGCAUUUUUUUAUCUCAUCAUCUCCUUUCCUCUUCUUCUUUUCUUUGUCCUUCUUCGUGCCAUCCGGUCGUUUUGGCUUCGAGUAUGAAACCGAGUUUGGGGUGGGGCUUCUCUUGCCAUCUUCACUUGAUGCAUCAUCCUCAUCAUCAUCUUCCAAAUUAAUUGUUUGCUUGUGUUUUUUUGCUCAAAUCCAAAUCAUCAAUAUCCUCACGCUUCUUCCAUUUCUCAUCAUCCUUCAAUACUUCAUAGCAAUGAGGCAAGGAAAAUGGCCUUCCUUUCUUGAUCUUCCCCUUCUUGGUCCUCUUCUCCUCUCCUUUGAACAAGUUUUUUGCAAUGUUUAACUACAUGAAAACAAAACAAGUUAGCACAAGAAACACCAACAACAAGCAUGAUGUGAACAUGAGGAAUGAUAAAACCACACUUACCCUAUCAUCAUCAUUGGUGCCACUUGGGUUCAACUUGUCAACCGCUUUUUGUGCGGCCAACCAUUGUUGACAAUCCCUAUUGAUGGUCGACCAAGGUGAUUGUGCGGAGCGGUCAAUUCCACUCAUGUUGCAAAGAUCAAAGUGUUCUUUCAUCCGGAGCCAAUAAGCAUCUCUACUUUGAUCACCUCCAAUGGAUGGAUCCCUCGACACUUGCAACCAAGUAUUGCAUAGUAAGAUGUCUUCGGCAUUGGUGUUUGCCCGCUCUUCCUUUCAGUGCGUCGACAAUGCCCUCACCAUCCUCGUCCACCUCGAAUUCAUGGUCUUCAAAAUGCAUGUCAUUGGUUUGAGACCAAUGCGAAUUGUUCGAGCCAACACCCAUAGUUGACAUGUAUGCAUCAUCGUUCACACUACAAAGUAUAUAGAACAAUGCAAUAAGCUAUCUAUAUGUAUGCAUUCAAAAAAUAAAGAAGGAAAAGGAGUUCGGGAUUUUUUUACCUUUGGGGCAUAUCGUCGAACACAUGGUGCGCGUCGGUCGCCGGCUCAACAAGUGCGAUCGCCAGCGCUUCGGUAGCCGCCGCGCUCGUCACACGCCCUGCAAGCUUCUUCCUCGGCGCCUUCGAGGUGCCGGAGCCGUCCGUCGUCUUCUUCUUCUUCGCGGAUGUCUUGCCCUUCUUCGGCCGCGGCGCAUUUGGGAACUUCGAGGUGCCGGAGUCGUCCGUCGCCUUGUUCUUCAUCACGGCGGGCGCCGGCACGACGCCACCAGCCGCCGAGGUCAUUCGCAGCGGCAUGAAGAGGGGGCGCGCGAGGCCGAUGCUCGAAGGAGCUCCUGCGAAGGUGUGGCCGACGCUCCCAGCGCUAGGGUUUGCGGCGGCGGUGGCGGCGGCGCUGGAGGGUUCGCGGCUGUAGGAUGGGGUGAGGGGAGUGCCGGCGCGUGGGUCCAUUGGGUCAGCUCGCCGGCGCCGGUGUGUGCGGCGUGAAGGUGGCGCGGGGGAGAGAGUGCGGCGCGAGCGCUUUUGUGUGCCGCGCGCGGAAGCCAGCUCCCCAAAUACGCAGCGCACGAUAGCGAUUCGGACCGCGCGCCCAACUCUAUAUGCCGCGCGCGCGAUUAUUGCACGCCCGCUAGAGACACACUAGCGAUUACGCGCGCGCUAAAAUGGAUUGCGAUGCGAUGCUUGUUUUGCGCGCCUGUUGGAGAUGCUCUUAGUGAGGCUGGUGCCGUUGCUUGGACAACUUCUGGUGACAUCAGCUCCGAUCAGAGACAUCAUUCCGCUGCCGGAUAUAAGGCUGCUCUGUGUAUUAUGGAUUCGCUGAAGCGGUUCCUGGUUCCUUAACGUCGUCGAAGCAUGUACUCCUUCUGUUCCUUAAUAUAAGUCGUUUUAGACAUUUCAAAUGGACUACAACAUACGGAUGUAUAUAGACAUAUUUUAGAGUGUAGAUUCAUCUAUUUUGCUUCUUAUAUAGUCAUUUGUUGAAAUCUCUAAAAAACUUAUAUUUAGGAACGGAGGGAGUACAUCAGCAUUAUCCAUGCCAUCGGCGAUAUUUCUUCUCCAGUCUCGAUGGCGGUAGCGGUGCUGGAUCAGUAGGCAGCCUCUUAGUCUCUUUCUUCGGCUUCAACCUUGCCGAGGCCGUUGUUACAUAGGACGCGAGC